rnacentral:rRNA from 1 species
UACGGAGGGUGCGAGCGUUGUCCGGAAUCACUGGGCGUAAAGGGCGCGUAGGUGGCCCGUCAAGCGCGCCGGUGAAAGCCCGGGGCUCAACCCCGGGUCGGCCGUGCGGACUGGCGGGCUCGAGCACUGGUAGGGGCGGGUGGAAUUCCGGGUGUAGCGGUGGAAUGCGUAGAGAUCCGGAAGAACACCGGUGGCGAAGGCGGCCCGCUGGGCAGGAAGACGGGGCAACCCGUCGGCGUGGACACUGAGGCGCGACAGCGUGGGGGAGCAAACAGG